UACGUAGGGGGCUAGCGUUGUCCGGAAUCAUUGGGCGUAAAGCGCGUGUAGGCGGUCCGGUAAGUCCGCUGUGAAAGUCGGGGGCUCAACCCUCGGAUGCCGGUGGAUACUGUCGGGCUUGAGUACGGAAGAGGCGAGUGGAAUUCCCGGUGUAGCGGUGAAAUGCGCAGAUAUCGGGAGGAACACCAAUGGCGAAGGCAGCUUGCUGGGACGGUACUGACGCUGAGGCGCGAAAGCGUGGGGAGCAAACAGG
rnacentral:rRNA from 1 species